rnacentral:lncRNA from 1 species
UUUGAUUUUGGUGCGUAUAUAUAUAAUAUACAAACAAGAGGAUCUUACAAACAAAGUUACUCAUAAAAUCCAAGAGAGCGUGAUGUUAAAAAACAAGAAAAGAAGAAGCAAAUGAAGUUUAAAAAUUCACUAGUUGAAAGGCUUUCCAAUCCUCGGCAGGAAGCAUGGGAAUGGGUUGACACCUAAACCCCCAGCACUGGCUUAUUAUAUUUAGUCUUGAAAACAACAAAAACAAUGACCUCCUUCCAAUUCCCAUUUGCCUAAUCUUUUUAAAAAAUACUCAUUUACUACACAUUAUAUACUUAAAAUCUACGCUUUGAAGUUGAAUAAGCAUUUUAUAACUUGCAUUAUUGGGGCAAGCAUGAGCUAAUUGGAGGGCUAUUGAC